UUGGUUGAUCACCGUCUUGACUCUUUAGUUCGUAGGCAGUGGCUCUAUAUAAUCACCAAGCUCUCUUUUGCAUAAUCACUAGUCUCUCCUUUGCCUGGCAAACACAAAGAAAUUAAAAAUGCCAGGCAACGACGAGGGAUCCAAAGUUGGUCGAGUUGUUGGGGCAGUGGCUGGAAUUGCUGUUGGAGUUGCCGCGGUGGCUUGGAGCAUAGCUAGUAUUGUGUCAGACUCAGGUUCAGCAGCUCCAAACAGGAAGACUAUGAAAGCUCCUGGAAGGGAUUAUAAGAUGUACCGGGAUGAUUUUGAGAAAGACCAUGCUGGUUAUUUUCGCAGCCUACGCGAAAAGUAAAGAAGAGAUUAGGAAUGUCUAAUUGGAAGAAUGAAUGGAUUAUCUGUCAAUCUGCUUUCUUGUUUUAAAUUUUAAUGGUAAUAAUGAAACUUAUUGUAUGCUGGUGGAUGCAUUUGAUUUCUGAUGCCUAAUUUUGUGUUCUCUGUCACUCUCUUUCUUUCACUCUCUCUCUCUCUCUUUGAUAUUUUUCUCUCAGAGCUUCAGGAUCAUCAUAGUAAAUCAAACAGAAUAAUUGCCAGCAAUGGAAUUAUGGUUUUGUGAGCUUUUCGUUUUCUAAAUGCAUCCCCAUUGGCCAUAAUUGAGCUUUAUUGGCCAUAAUUGAGCUCCAUUAGCCAUUGAGAAGAGGUAAGUAAUGUAAUAAUGUUUUCACGGUGCAGCACAAUUCAUCAAACAUCCUUUGAUGUCCAUGCAGAAUUGAGAGCCGACAAACAUAGUGCAGAAAGUGUUUAGGGUGUACUUAAACCGCCUACUCUAAUUCGAAUUCUUAAUAUUGUCA
rnacentral:misc_RNA from 1 species